GUAACUUGAGUGUCCGGGAGCUCCGAGUGAUAGCUUUUGUAUGCUUGGGCCAGGGAGUGGCACUAUUAGGAGGUAUGGCCUUGUUGGAGUAGGUGUGUCACUGUGGGUGUGGGCUUUAAUACCCUCCUCCUAACUGCCUGGAAGUCAGUCUUAGAGGCCUGCAGAUGAAAAUAGAGACCUCUCAGCUCCUCCCACACCAUGCCUACCUGGAUUCGGCCGUGCUCCCGCCUUGAUGAUACUAGACUGAAUCUCUGAACCUGUAAGCCAUCCCCAAUUAGAUGUUGUCCUUAUAAGAGUUGCCUUGGUCACGGUGUCUGCUCACAGCAGUGAAAAACCCUAAGACACUCCUGUAAGACUUUCCUAAGGGAGAGUCACGGAGGAAGCCUUGGUGAACCAAGCAAGUCCUUGUGCCAUGGUUUAGAUGUGUGUUCAAGACCCUCUCUUGAAAACCCAUGGCACUAAUGCAAGCUUCCGGGACCUUUCAGAGGGAGGGCCUCGUGGAUAUUAUCUAGUCCUAUAAAGGCUUCUCUUUGAAGAGUCUGUUGGGACUGGGUAUCUCCUUGUUCUCAUUUCCAGUCAUCAUGAUGUGAGAAGCCUCCUCUACCUCAUGUUUCUGCCAUGAUCCACCAGGCCCAAAGCAACCAGGUCAAUGGAUCAUGGACUGAAGCUUUCAAAACUGUAAGCCAAAAUAGAUGUUUCUUCUCUUUUUAAGUGGAUUUGCCUCAGAUAUUUGUUGAAAUAACAGAAACCUAAUGCCCUCUUUCUCUCCAUUUUCAACCCAGCCACUGUUCAUGGCUACUUCCCAGAGCACAUCUUGACUGCAUUCAGGUGGUUGCCUUCACCCUGCCCUCCACCCCACUCUCCCCACCCUUCUCUGCAGGGCACCCUCUUCAGCAUUGGACAGAAAGCCAAAGUCCUUGCAUUAGAUACAAGUCUAGCUCUGAUUUCCUCCUUCCUUCCCUCCACACAGAGAACCAUUAUGUAGUCCUUCAUACACAACAGGGCACUUUGCACUCGCUGUUCCAACUGCCAAGGCCUCUCUGCCCCAGGGAUCCACAGGGAAACGCUUUUCCUUCUUUCCAAAUAAAGGUCUCUUGGUAGCAGCUUGUAUUGCGAAUGCUAAUUACAUUCCCUGAAAACUGUUUGCGGAGACUGUCUGCGGGUUUGUAGCUUCUGGGAACCUGCCCCCAGCUGGUUCUGAUUGGUAAAUAAAGUUAGUGGCAGCCAAUGGCUAGUCAGGGCAGACAGAGGCGGGACUUUUAGGAUUCCUGGGCUAGGAAGGAGAGGAAAGACAAGAGAGAAGAGACGCCAGGCCUGAGAAGGUGCAGAACUGGGAUGCAUAGCCGCCAUGUAGGAGCCGGGAGAAUGCGGCCCAAGAGGGCUGCCCAACUGGGUCCAGAGCAGCCAAGCUCCUGUCUCCUGCUCCUGUUUGAGUUCCUGAACUAACUUCCUUCCACGAUGGCCUGAUGUGGAAAUCGCCUAUGACUGAAACAUAAUGAAUGUUCCCAAAACAGUUUGGAAGGAAGGAAAGAAGAAAGCGUUGCAUCCUAUGUAGAACUCUCAGCUCUGUCUCCAGCACCAUGUCUGCCUUCACGCUGCCAUGCUUCGGGGUGUGACAACGAUGGACUGAACCUCGGAAACUAUACGCCAGCCCCGAUUAAAUGUUUUCCUUUAUAAGAGUUGCCUUAGUCAUGGCGUCUCUUUACAGAAAUGAAACCCUAAGACACUUGGGAAGCGCAACUGUAGUAGAAACAGAGAGUGAGGAGAUUUGAGUAGCAGAAUCAUCAGUAAGACUAAUAAGACUUUAAUCAUUAAGAAGUAAACUUGGCACUGACUUCCUCAAAACAAGAGUAGGAAGGCACUCUCCAUUUCCCAUCGGUAGCAAAACUCGAGGCCGUACGGAUCCGACUGAAUCAUACUCACCAUUAAUUUUUAAAUGCACUUUUCGUUUUUAUUAACAGGCUCUGUGGGCUUAUUGCUCAAUAGAAGAGUAGACUGGUUUUCUCUUGAGAGAAUAUCUAGACUAGAAAUUACCUUGCUGGCUAAUAAAAUAGAUAAAGCCAGGUUGGCCCAAACAUAACAGGAAGGCAAGCUCUGGAACCCUCUGACUAUACCUGUCUUCAAGCCUUAGUAGGCACUGCGGCUGUUUCUCCUAAAGGUUAUAACAUUAAACCUGCAGCUCUCAUUACAGCCUUCUAAGUUCUGAUAGGAGCUGAGGAUGUUCUGAAGACAUUGGCAUUUCCAGAUUCAGCCAAACCAUGUUCUACAACAAAAGGGCAAGCCUUUGCUAGGGCUGCGAGGUGAAACGAACCCCACAGUGGAGUUUAGAAAUGAAGCUGCCCUUUCUACAGACACUGGCCACCAAUCAGCUCUUUAUGCUAAAUUGCUUUUCCCCUGGGUCCAGGAAAUUUCACAGUUACUCGUUAGUCUUUGAUACUUGUGGUGUUAAACAGAGUCUAACACCUCUUUGCCCUGAGAACAGCCCAGCUCCCUCCUCUGGUUCCCAACUGGUUUCUCCUCUCUAGCCGGCUUCAGGAUUGUCAAAACAAGGCUUGGCUAUUGUCACUUUAAAGUAAUCCAAGUCCCACAGCUCUGGAGAUUCAUGCUUCUUAGAAUCUUGCAGGGCCAGAGAGGGGUCAAUGGCAGAAUACUUGCCUAGCAUAGAGGGAUCUGCGUUCAACCCCAAGCCCUAAAAAGAAAGAGAAAGAGAGGUAAUUUUACGUUUUAAGUACUAAGGUCAGGAGGUCUGUGGAGCACAUAUAGGUGUUUUAUUUUAAUUAUUUUGGGGGUAUCUGUUGUUGUUUUGAGACCAAGUCUUACUGUGUAGACCAGGAUGGCCUCAAAUUCUCAGAGAUCCAUCUCUGUCUCCCGAAUGUAAAGGCAUGUACCAUGAUGAUGAUGAUGACGACGAUGACGACGACGACGACGACGAUGAUGAUGAUGAUGAUGAUAUUGUUGAUUCAAGAUUUGGCACAUGUAUGUAUAUGUAAAUGUAUGAUGUUCUAGUCUCUGAUUACUGCCACUACUGAAAGAAA